ACCACGAUGCUGUUGUUAACUUAAUGGACAUUCGCAGGUGUUACCACGAUGCUGUUGUUAACUUAAUGGACAUUCGCAGGUGUUAACACGAUGCUGUUGUUAACUUAAUGGACAUUCGCAGGUGUUACCACGAUGCUGUUGUUAACUUAAUGGACAUUCGCAGGUGUUAACACAAUGCUGUUGUUACCACGAUGCUGUUGUUAACUUAAUGGACAUUCGCAGGUGUUACCACGAUGCUGUUGUUAACUUAAUGGACAUUCGCAGGUGUUAACACGAUGCUGUUGUUAACUUAAUGGACAUUCGCAGGUGUUACCACGAUGCUGUUGUUAACUUAAUGGACAUUCGCAGGUGUUAACACGAUGCUGUUGUUAACUUAAUGGACAUUCGCAGGUGUUAACACGAUGCUGUUGUUAACUUAAUGGACAUUCGCAGGUGUUAACACGAUGCUGUUGUUAACUUAAUGGACAUUCGCAGGUGUUAACACGAUGCUGUUGUUAACUUAAUGGACAUUCGCAGGUGUUAACACGAUGCUGUUGUUAACUUAAUGGACAUUCGCAGGUGUUACCACGAUGCUGUUGUUAACUUAAUGGACAUUCGCAGGUGUUACCACGAUGCUGUUGUUAACACGAUGCUGUUGUUAACUUAAUGGACAUUCGCAGGUGUUAACACAAUGCUGUUGUUAACACGAUGCUGUUGUUAACUUAAUGGACAUUCGCAGGUGUUAACACAAUGCUGUUGUUAACACGAUGCUGUUGUUAACUUAAUGGACAUUCGCAGGUGUUAACACAAUGCUGUUGUUAACACGAUGCUGUUGUUAACUUAAUGGACAUUCGCAGGUGUUAACACGAUGCUGUUGUUACCACGAUGCUGUUGUUAACUUAAUGGACAUUCGCAGGUGUUAACACAAUGCUGUUGUUAACUUAAUGGACAUUCGCAGGUGUUAACACGAUGCUGUGUAGACUGUGCAGACUGUGUAGACUGUGUGUUCGUGGGCAUAAAGUUUAGUUCCUCCAAGUGAACCCAUAGCGCCACCAUUUCAUUUCAAAAUGUGUGUCCAUAGAUUAUAAACCCAUUUAUUUUUAAUUGCGUUAACACGAUCCAGAGAGGCAUAACAAAUGUCCAGCGAUGUAGAUCACCACGACAACAGCUACCCAAACCCAUACUAACUAACGCUACAGUGGUGAUGUCAGUGAGAUGGUGGGUCUGUCCCAAAUGGCACCCCAUUCCCUAUGUAGUGCACUACGUUUGACUAGUGCCCAUAGGUCUCUGAUCAAAAGUAGUGUAGUAUGUAGGAAAUAGAGUGUUAUUUGGGACGCAUAAAUGGUGUGAGUGACUGUUACCAUAAUAAUAACAAGACAUGCUGCAUCCAAUCAACGCCCUG